CAAUAGCGUAUAUUUAAGUUGUUGCAGUUAAAAGCUCGUAGUUUGAUUUCGGAUGUGAACGACCGGUCCGCCGUUGCGGGUGCUCUGGACGUUUGUAUUUUGUUUUGGGGACGCGCUUAUGACCUUAAUGGGAGGGACGCGGAGUCGGCGCUGUUACUGUACACACAUAAGAGAGUUCAAAGUGGGCAACCGCUCUGAAUACAUUAUCAUGAAAUACCGCUAUACCGCUGGUCAUAUUAUGUUGGUCUUCUGGACCGAGUAAUAAUUAAGAGGGACAGUUGGGGCGAUUCGUAUGUCAUUGUCAGAGGUGAAAUUCUUGGAUUUAUGAAAGACAAACUUCUGCGAAAGCAUUUGCCAAGGAUGUUUUCAUUAAUCAAGAACGAAAGUUGGGGCGUCGAAGACGAUUAGAUACCG
rnacentral:rRNA from 1 species